GACGAACGCUGGCGGCGUGCCUAAUACAUGCAAGUUGAGCGAUGAAGAUUGGUGCUUGCACCAAUUUGAAGAGCAGCGAACGGGUGAGUAACGCGUGGGGAAUCUGCCUUUGAGCGGGGGACAACAUUUGGAAACGAAUGCUAUUACCGCAUAACAACUUUAAACAUAAGUUUUAAGUUUGAAAGAUGCAAUUGCAUCACUCAAAGAUGAUCCCGCGUUGUAUUAGCUAGUUGGUGAGGUAAAGGCUCACCAAGGCGAUGAUACAUAGCCGACCUGAGAGGGUGAUCGGCCACAUUGGGACUGAGACACGGCCCAAACUCCUACGGGAGGCAGCAGUAGGGAAUCUUCGGCAAUGGACGAAAGUCUGACCGAGCAACGCCGCGUGAGUGAAGAAGGUUUUCGGAUCGUAAAACUCUGUUGGUAGAGAAGAACGUUGGUGAGAGUGGAAAGCUCAUCAAGUGACGGUAACUACCCAGAAAGGGACGGCUAACUACGUG
rnacentral:rRNA from 1 species